GCAGCAGGAGAAGCAGCGGUUGGCAGAGUACCAGGCUGAGCUUCAGGGCAUCCAUCACCGGGUGCAGAGCCGCCCAUUCCUCUUCCAGCAGGCCAUGCAAGCUAAUGCCCGGCUCUCAGUGAAUAGACGCUUUUCCCAGAUGCUGUCGGCCCUAGGUUUGGAUGAGGAGCAGGUAUUGGCUGAAGCACUGAAGGAUGAGAUGGAGGAAAUCCCCUCAAAAUACAGGUCCUCAAAGACCAGGAAGCUGGCCAGGAGCCAACUGAAGCAGCUUUUGUGGGGCACGGAGUGAACAGGGCCGGAAGCUGCCCGAAGUCAGCGAGCCAAGUAGAGAACAUUACCCGGGACCCAGGGUUGAAUGGGAAAGGAGGAGAGAAGGAAAAUGAAAUUAUUGUAUUAAAGCCCAGUGUCUGCUUUCCUGCCUGGCCAGAGCCCUCGGGAGCUUGGGGUCUGCCUGGGGAAGCAA
rnacentral:lncRNA from 1 species